rnacentral:rRNA from 1 species
GAUGAACGCUGACGGAAUGCUUAACACAUCAGCAAUUGAUUGGUGGCGGACGGGUGAGUAACGCGUAAAGAACUUGCCUCACAGCUAGGGACAACAUUUAGAAAUGAAUGCUAAUACCUGAUACUGUGAGAGAGCUUUGCGUCCCAUUAGCUAGUUGGAGAGGUAACAGCUCACCAAGGCGAUGAUGGGUAGCCGGCCUGAGCGGGUGAGUGGCCACAAGGGGACUGGGAUACGGCGCUUACUCCUACGGGGGGCAGUAGUGGGGAAUAUUGGACAAUGGACCGGAGUCUGAUCCAGGAAUUGUGUGUUUACGAUGAAGUUUUCGGAAUGUAAAGUGCUUUCAGUUGCGAAGCGGUACCAACAGAAGAAGUGACGGCUAAAUACGUGCCAGCCGCCGCGGUAAUAC